GGAUGAAGAGCCACCCAAAAAUUAUAUUUUUAGUAUACCUAUUCAAAUCUUACCUUCUAGUAAAAAGGCUAUAAUUACCCUUAUAGACAAGAAGACCCUGUAAAACUUAACAUUAAACCCAUUUUAAAAAUAGCAUAAAUGUUUAGCUGGGGCGGCUGAAGAAAAAACAUCUUCAAAACAACAUAACAUAGUUACUAUACCCAGAAAUUCUGAAAAUAAAACAAGCUACUUCAGGGAUAACAGCGUAAUAUAUUUAAAAAGACCCUAUUGACAAAUAUGUUUGCGACCUCGAUGUUGGAUUGAGUAAUCUUUUUUCUGCAAGAGGAUAAGAAGAAGGUCUGUUCGACCUUUAAACACCCCCA
rnacentral:rRNA from 1 species